GGGUGCCAGCCRCCGCGGUUAUACGAAAGGUAAAAAACAAUGCCUAUCGGCGUAAAGAGUGAACAGAGUGCGCAAAAGCCCUAAGGAAAAACCACCCCAAAGUCGUAAAACACCUUGCCUACGGGAUCCCCAACAACAAACUGCCCUUAGAUAAAAGGCCGCUUGCCCUCACGAAAGCUAAGGCACAAACUAGGAUUAGAUACCCUACUAUGCUUAGCCCUUAACAUAAACAGAGCAAUACAACCCUGUUCGCCAGAGAACUACAAGUGAAAAACUAGAAACUCCAAGGACUUGGCGGUGCUCCAUACCGACCUAGAGGAGCCUGUCCUAUAAUCGAUACUCCACGCUAAACCUCACCACUUUUUGCAUCUCAGCUUAUAUACCGCCGUCGUCAGCUUACCUUGUGAAAGAAAUAAAAUAAGCAAAAUAGUCUUAAACUAGCACGUCAGGUCAAGGUGUAGCACAUAAAGUGGCAGAGAUGGGCUACAUUUUCUACCACAGAAAACACGAAGAGAGCAGUGAAACCUGCCCCUGAAGGCGGAUUUAGCAGUAAGACAAACAAGAAAGUUUCUCUUAACCCCGCUCUGGAGCGCGCACACACCGCCCGUCACCCU
rnacentral:rRNA from 1 species